rnacentral:rRNA from 1 species
AUACGGAGGGUGCGAGCGUUAAUCGGAAUUACUGGGCGUAAAGCGCGUGCAGGCGGUCUGUUAAGUCAGAUGUGAAAGCCCCGGGCUUAACCUGGGAACUGCAUUUGAUACUGGCAGACUAGAGUCUGGUAGAGGGAAGUGGAAUUCCCGGUGUAGGGGUGAAAUCCGUAGAUAUCGGAAGGAAUACCAGUGGCGAAGGCGGCCUUCUGGACGAUGACUGACGCUGAGACGCGAAAGCGUGGGGAGCAAACAGGAUUAGAAACCCCAGUAGUCC